UCAAAUGACCUGACAAGGAUGAAAGGAAACACUUAAAGAUACUCAAUACAGUUGACAGAAAUGAAAAGAGCUAUGAACAGUUUGCUUGAACUGCGUAUGGUUGCAACAAAAGGUCAAUUCAAAGCAGAACAUGACUAAAAAUAAACUAACUAAAACAAACAAAUUCUCACAUUGAAGCACACAUUUCUUGCAUUUAAUAUAAUUCAGCUUUGUUUGUUUUGGAUUUUUCCACAGAAUGUUCAGUUGUGACUUUGCUCUUAUGGAAUGAUAAGAUCUGUUAGAUGCAGAGUUACCACACAGCACCAUACUUUCUACUUCAAAACUUUGCCCCCAAGGUACCCAGCUGGAGACCCCGGUGAAAGGCUGACCUCGCCACACAGUUCACGUUGGUUCAUUCACAUCCAUGCCUGGAGGCAGCAGGGAUGGAUCAGUGCACCCAUAGUGAUAACCCUUGACUUGUGAGCUUUACGGACACUGAAAAUCACAAGAAAAAGCCCCUUACUUCAUGACUUCAGUGUGUUUAAAGGAUCAGUAAAGGGUGCGAAUCCAUGCAAGCAAGCCAUUGUGAAUAGUAUUGUCAGAAAGACGACUAAAACUUAAGUCUUCAGUUCAGGCACGAACUAAAGAAAAAAAUAAGUAUAAGUAAGAAUAAAGAAGAGAAACAGGAAAUUAGAAAGAAAGGGAGGGUGAGUGUGACAAGCGCUAUAACGUCCUCCGAGAUGCAUUUGGACAGAGUGAGCAUCUGUCAAAACAAGGCAGCCUCAACGGCCGCCUCACUAAUGGCUGUGGACAUGAGCGAAAGAGGGGGAGAAAAAGACAGGGGGGGGGGUAUAAAACCGGUCUGCACACACAUACACACACCAACUAUUAGCUGCUUCUACUUUUCUCCAGCAGAUCCCACCAAUCAUUUGAUUCCAAAUUUCAACAAAGCUGCACUGUAAUAAGUAUUGAACUACUUUCCUAUUGGUGUGAAUGUGAGCACAUUGAUGUGUGUGUCUGUGUGCGAGCGUGGUGUGUAGAUGUCCGCCAUCUAACUGGGGAUUUUUGUUGUAUACACUUGCCUCCAUUCCUCAUUGUGAUGAAUAGACUGGCGUGUCAAUCUGUCAUAUGGAUUGUUGUUGUUUUUUUCCCCCCUUCAUUUUCUCUCUUUUUUUCUCAGACAGUUUAGCCACAGUUAUAUUUUCUCCUACUCACUCCAAAAAAGGACCGUGAACAGUCACCUGGAGCUGUAAAUCAAAGUGCUGGAAGAAAAUGUGAAACCACAUUUUUGUUUUCACUCUUUUGCUUCUGUAUGUUAAUCAAUCAAAGAUACAAAAACUACUUUUCCACAUAGAACAAAGCACAAAGUUCUUCAAAGAACAAAAAAAUAACUACAACUGUCCAAAUUUUGCCCCCCCUUUCAUUGUCCUUUAGGCAGGAAAACCCUUUAGGAGGUUAACCUGGUAUCAGCACCACGGACAGCUCCCAUGUCAAAACCAUUGACUGUUUAUGAGAACUGGACCAAGUGAUUUCUGUGUUACGUUAAGCCAUGUUUUUGCGAUACAGAUGCUGCCAUGUUGGAGUCAGAUGACAUCAGUGGGCUGUGAUUGGACCGUGUCGUCUGAGUCCACCUUUCCAUGGCGUCCACUCUUGCCAGUCAGGAGUGAGCUCGUUGGAAGCUCUCACCUUUACCCCUCAAAGAGGACUCAGGGCAAUCUGCCAAUCAAACAUUCUGAAUGUUCACUGUCAGGGCCGGCAUGCUUCACAUACUUUUGAGCCAUCUGAUUGGUCAGUUGAUAACUUGAAUCAUUUGCCCUUCAAAAAAAAAAUGAUCAUAAAAAGAAAAAAAAGAUUAGGAUUAGGAAGAACAUUUUACCAAACAGAAAAUUGUUACUCUGACAAAUAUAACAACUGAAUAAUUUUGGUAUCUUUGAGCCAAAAUUUAUUUGGAACGCGAGAGGGUAGGGGUCAUUCAGUCCAGUUCUUAUGUACAGUCAAUGGUCAAAACCAACAACCUCCCCAAUGCAGAGAGCUCCGACUACAGAGGAAAAACUAUAAGUGAUAAAAAGGAGAAAUGUUAAAUUCUAAGAAACACAAAAAUGUUUUAAAUAAAAAUAAUUUGUGCUUUAACAUUAAGAAAUAUAUAUAUUUUAACACUUUUCUGUAAAUAAACAUAAUUUUGUCAAUAUUUAUCAUAAAUUGGCCUCAAAUGUUUUAUUUUAAUCACAAAUGUUUAUCUCCACUCCUGUUUAAAAAAAAGUUAUUUUUUGACAGAUAAUGUAAAUGAAUGUGAAAGAUAGAAAAUGAUAGAAAAGGGAUAGAAAGUCCUUGUUCCUCCAUCUUUACAAAAAAUGCAGAGUAAAAGAAUGUCUAUUUGUGGAAUUUUGGAUCUCCUGUGACGCUACAGUAAAUGCAUUUGUUAAUGCACACACAAAAUAAGCUCUUUAUCAGAUGCAAUUAUUUACAUUUUGCAAACGUAAUAAUUAUGCUGAAGAAUCAUCUGUGCUGCAACAGCAGGAACAAUCUGCUUAUUGAAAGCAGCAUCUACAUCUACAUAGUUUGGUUUCAAAUUCUUCUCAAUUCUCUUUUAGUAUUUUAUAGCUGACUGUAAAGAUUCAGUGCAUAUCUUUGGGGUAUUUAUGCAAACAUGUAUCCACUAUCAUAAAAAAAACAAUAAAGUUUCUGUUAGAAAAAAUCUAAACCAUUUUUUUAAGUUAAAACAUUUAUAUUUCAACAGCCUAAAUAAACUCAACAUUAAAAAAACGCUCAGAAAUCAUAAAUGACAUAAAAAAAAAACUAAUGUUAAAUAAUUUUAAUAGUUUCCCUUUAUCUAACAGCAUUUAUGUUUCUUUUGUUAUUUGAAUUAAAAAAACCCUUUUCCAAAAUUUAAGAAAACUGUUGUUAAGUCAAAAAAUUGGAGGAAAAAAAAGUCUGUUGAGCUCGUUUACUAACAGAAUAUCGUUUUUUUGUCAGAACAAACACAUUUUUAUUGUAGAACCGUUGGUCUCCUGUUUUGUUUAAUGUAUAAAGCUAUUUAGCAUUUUUUUCCUCCAUCCCAGCUGGAACUUCUUCUAAGAAAACUGAAAUAUGAUUGAGAACCUCCAGUAAAACAGAGUAAGAAUCCAAAUAAUAGACUGAGUGCGCUUUAAAAUCAAGCUGCCUCAGACGUGAUCUUCUACUGGAGGAACCAAAUAAACCAGUCAAACACCAGCGUCUAUUGUAGUCUGUAGCCAUAUUAGUCGUUCUCAAAAUAUGUCAAAACCCCUCUUGUUGCCUUGUUUUUCAAAUACUGCACUCCCUUAAAAAAGAACUCCAAAAUGUACAUAUUGCAAUUGUUUUCCUUUUAUUGUCAUUUUUUCCCAUUUCUUUUCUGCUGGCAUUGUUCAUCUUCUAGCUGCAAGUUGGUUGUUACUGUUGGUGCAGAUGACAUUCAAACUCAGCCAUUUAUGCAGCUUCACUCAGCUAAAAAGACAACGCACAUUGAGAGCAAUGGGGGUCAAGUGAGCUCAAGAAUUAAUGAGGAGAGCGAGAGAGAGCGCUUUAAUUACUCACAGAAGAAGACAGUGAAAAAGUUUGAGACAAGCGAUAAAUUGCUUUAUUCAGGCACCACUCACCCGGCCGCUCAGUUCACAGGUUUGUCUUUUCAGAGUUUAUUGUGCAUUCUAGAAUAUAGAAAUAUAUUUCAAGUAAAAGUUUGAAUACAAAAAAGGCAAACUAUGAUUUUUUUUUUUUAAUGGAUCCUCUCCUCUGUUGCAUUUACCAACAAAAUCCACUCACAAGCUCAUAAACUCCUUCACUGGCUGUUUGUCCUGCCACUUUUUGCAAUUCCUGCAAACAUACAGUACAGUGAUUUUUUUUUCUUUUUUUUAUUUAUAUUCUUCUUAUUCUCAAUUUUCUGUUUCUGAUUUAUUUCAUUUAAUGAAAUGUGCAACUUGCUCUUUUAGAAUGUUCUACUUUCAUUGCUUUACGCAUCAAGACAGUGGUCUUCAUAUGCAUUAAAGCUUGUCAGGCGCUCUGUUAUCUUAUUUAAGGCCUGCUGGAAUAAUGCCUGAUCAGGUCACCUUAAAAAAAUGUUUAAAAACAUUCUUACUCAGCAACUUUCUGAGAUCUCCACACACACACCCCUCCGCUUGCCAAACACACACAUUUGUACCACAAUGGAAUGACUUAAAUGCAUAAAGAGAUAAUAAAAUGUUGAAGUACAAAUAA